CGCUGACGAGUGGCGGACGGGUGAGUAAUGUCUGGGAAACUGGCCUGAUGGAGGGGGAUAACUACUGGAAACGGUAGCUAAUACCGCAUAACGUCGCAAGACCAAAGAGGGGGACCUUCGGGCCUCUUGCCAUCGGAUGUGCCCAGAUGGGAUUAGCUUGUUGGUGGGGUAACGGCUCACCAAGGCGACGAUCCCUAGCUGGUCUGAGAGGAAGGUCCCCCACAUUGGAACUGAGACACGGUCCAAACUCCUACGGGAGGGCAGCAUG
rnacentral:rRNA from 1 species